GGGAACAUACCCUUUUCUACGGAAUAGCUCUGGGAAACUGGAAUUAAUACCGUAUGCGCCCUACGGGGGAAAGAUUUAUCGGGGAAGGAUUGGCCCGCGUUGGAUUAGCUAGUUGGUGGGGUAAAGGCCUACCAAGGCGACGAUCCAUAGCUGGUCUGAGAGGAUGAUCAGCCACAUUGGGACUGAGACACGGCCCAAACUCCUACGGGAGGCAGCAGUGGGGAAUAUUGGACAAUGGGCGCAAGCCUGAUCCAGCCAUGCCGCGUGAGUGAUGAAGGCCUUAGGGUUGUAAAGCUCUUUCACCGAUGAAGAUAAUGACGGUAGUCGGAGAAGAAGCCCCGGCUAACUUCGUGCCAGCAGCCGCGGUAAUACGAAGGGGGCUAGCGUUGUUCGGAAUUACUGGGCGUAAAGCGCACGUAGGCGGAUAUUUAAGUCAGGGGUGAAAUCCCAGAGCUCAACUCUGGAACUGCCUUUGAUACUGGGUAUCUUGAGUAUGGAAGAGGUAAGUGGAAUUGCGAGU
rnacentral:rRNA from 1 species